GUAACACCACACCUCUCCAUCGAGAGAAAAGAAUCUCUCUCUCUUGAACACUGUAAAACACUACCCAUCAUCAUCAUCAUCCUCAGCAAAAACACAAAAUCAAGAAGAGAAAAAGGAAAAGAAAAAAAGAAAUUCUAUUAUCUCUUUCUCUUCUGGCUUCUUGAACCCUUUGAAUCUGCAAUUCUCUUUGUUUCUGUUUAUUUUCUCGUUUCUCAUAUAGCAAGAACCCUAAUAAAGAAAGAAAAACACCAGACCAGAAUAGAUAUUUAUUUGAACCAUGACCCUUGAAGACUCUUUAAGAUCUCUGUCUCUAGACUACCUCAAUCUGCUCAUCAAUGGCCAAGCCUUCUCUGAUGUAACUUUCAGUGUAGAGGGUCGCUUAGUCCAUGCUCACAGGUGUAUUUUAGCAGCAAGAAGCCUCUUCUUUAGGAAAUUCUUUUGUGGACCCGACCCACCAUCGUGGCUAGACCCAUCUGGAUCAAGGAUAAACCCGGUGGGAUCACCGGGUUCAAGGCCAAAUGUUAUACCAGUGAACUCAGUGGGAUAUGAGGUGUUCUUGUUGCUGUUACAGUUCUUGUAUAGUGGACAAGUCUCUAUUGUGCCUCAAAAGCAUGAGCCAAGGCCUAAUUGUGGUGAGAGAGGGUGUUGGCACACGCAUUGCACCUCAGCCGUUGAUCUUGCCCUCGACACUCUUGCUGCCGCUAGAUACUUUGGAGUUGAACAGCUUGCAUUGCUCACUCAGAAGCAAUUGGCAACCAUGGUAGAGAAAUCUUCAAUUGAAGACGUCAUGAAAGUACUAAUUGCUUCAAGAAAGCAAGACAUGCACCAACUUUGGACUACUUGCUCUCAUCUUGUGGCCAAAUCAGGCCUGCCUCCUGAAGUUCUAGCUAAACACCUUCCCAUAGAUGUUGUGGCCAAAAUUGAAGAGCUACGCCUCAAAUCUUCCCUUGCUCGCAGAUCACUAAUGCCUCACCAUCAUCACCACCAUGAUCUUACUGCAGCGGCUGAUCUUGAGGACCAAAAGAUUCGAAGAAUGAGAAGGGCAUUAGACUCUUCUGAUGUUGAACUAGUGAAGCUUAUGGUUAUGGGUGAAGGCCUAAAUCUUGAUGAAGCAUUGGCUCUACAUUAUGCAGUUGAAAAUUGUAGCAGAGAAGUGGUUAAGGCUUUGCUUGAAUUGGGUGCAGCCGAUGUUAACUAUCCAGCCGGACCAGCGGGGAAAACCCCACUUCAUAUCGCGGCAGAAAUGGUGUCACCGGACAUGGUUGCAGUCCUUCUAGACCACCAUGCUGACCCAAAUGUAAGAACCGUUGAUGGUGUGACCCCUCUGGACAUUCUUCGAACCCUAACCUCUGAUUUCUUGUUUAAGGGGGCAGUCCCGGGGUUAGCACACAUUGAGCCCAACAAGCUUAGGCUGUGUCUUGAGCUUGUCCAGUCUGCAGCUUUGGUUCUUUCUCGUGAAGAAGGAAGUGUUAAUGCACCUACUUCAACUCCAAUUUAUCCACCCAUGAGUGAAGAACAUAACAGCAGCAGCAACAGUAGCAAUCUUGCUAACCUGAAUCUUGAUUCAAGAUUGGUUUAUUUGAAUCUUGGGGCGACUGGUUCAGGCCAAAUGGGACCAAGAAUGGAAGGAGACGAUGAUAGUAGCCAUAACAGCCAGAGAGAUGUUAUUAGUCGGCAUGAUCCAACAAUGUACCACCACUCUCGCGACUUCUAGCUCAACUCUCAUCAUAUAUAUAAGGAAAAAUAUAUAUAAUCUUCUAUAUAUAAAUAUAUAUAUAUCGAUGAUGGAGGAGGCCGGGAAAGCCAAGUGAAAAACUUAAUGAAAGG
rnacentral:misc_RNA from 1 species